AGACGUGUCUUUCAGUCACUCUAGGUAUCUGAAGAAGUCAAAAGUGUGCGUCAGUCUAUAGAGAGAUGUGAUAUUUAGGUUUGUCAUAAACUUUCUUCUAAGUCACCCAUGCACUGAUGUAUCUAUAACACCUAGGUGUGUCAUGCUCAUUUAAGAGCUGCUGCUACUUCUGCUGUAAAUGGAGAGCUUCGUUAAGUUGAUCAUUGAAGGAGGAAGGGUGCCCCACAUUAAUUGAUGUUAGUGACCCUCUGGUUUAUUGCGAGGAGGAUAUUGGCUGGAGACAUGACUAAAAGCAGGGAUCCUCAGCUCAUUCUUCCUAUAUUGGCA